rnacentral:lncRNA from 1 species
GUGUAAUACAGGGCACACCACCCAUGUCAGUGGGAGGUGAGUGGGGCAGCAUCUCCCAGAGUAGGAAUCAGCCUCUAGGCUGUGCAAACCAUGAAGGAAUGAAAGGACUUUCCCUGUUUUAUUUUUAUUUAAUUUUUGUUAGUGGGAGUGUGUGACAUGUUGGGGGCAGUUGCAAUUAAUUUGUAACCUGACAGCCGGACAAGUGUCAAGGUAGGAAUGUGAUGCCCCAUGAUCUCCCAGGAAAGUAGGCUCCCAUUGAAUUUUCUGGGGGAGCUUGAAUUUCAUUCUGAGCUAAGCAGCACUGCUAAACUUAAUAAUAAAAGGAUUAGCAGGAUAGGCAGUGUUUCUACUGCCACAAGGGUUGCACAGAAGCAUCUGGCAUGUACUAAUAGUCUUGUGAUCCAGAGAGUGUGGACUGUGCACUUUGCUUUAAGUCCUAAAGUGGGUGUACAGGUCCUUUAACCCAUAAUGAAUGUGUAGAUGAUGGAGGGGCCGUCAGGGAGAGAGGCUGUUGAGUUCUCCUCUGUCUCUCAGCCCUCUUCUGCCCUGUACCACUUGGUGUUGACAUUUUUUUCCCCUCCCUCAGGAUGAAGUCUUCCUUAGAAUAAUAAAUAUUCCCCAAAGGACAUGUAUUUGUUGUCUUGUGUUUUGAGAAACAAUAAAUUGUAGCCAGUCUAACAACAGUUUGAAAAACUCCAGUGCUUAUGACCCAACUAGUGCCAAAGAGGUUAAAAUGUUAUGUUUCAAAAUGUUGGCUUGGGCACUGAUUUUUAAAAAAUUAUGAUGUUUCAUUUUGUGAUUUGUCUUUUUCUGCCCUUUCUGCCCCCAAAUUACAAUUAUUAUUUAACCAAUUAAAAUAAAUUAAAAUAUUUUAUUUGGAUAACUUUAGACCUCACACUUUCCUAGAGUACUCCAGACCAGGAAUUGAAAUUGCCCUUCCGGGUAUCAGGUAACAAAGACUUCCCAUUUGCUUAGAGUGAGAACAAAAGGAUUAAAAAACAAUGCGAAACAAAACCAUUUGGAAUUACUGGCACUUGUUCUGGGUGAAUCCAUCUGUGUUUGCUUCCUUCCUUCUAUAGAACUACAAAGUUAAAGGAUUGUAUAUAUUGUCACAGAAUGUCACCCUCUCUCCAUAGCCCACAUCUGCCUGUCUGCGUUAGGAGCUCUCAUCCCUGGUGUCUGCCUGGCUCUGGAGCAGGGGUGUCCAAUUUUCUGGCUUCCCUGGGCCACAUUGGAAGAAGAAGAAUUGUCUUGGGCCACACAUAAAAUACACUAACGCUAACGAUAGCUGAUGAGCUAAAAAAAAAAAAAUCACAAAAAGUCUCAUAAUGUUUUAAGAAAGUUUAUGAAUUUCUGUUGGGCUGCAUCCAAAGCUGUCCUGGGCCAUGGGUUGGAUGAGCUUGAUCUAGAGGCUCUGUAGGAGGAGCAGGAGCUCUUGGACAUGUGUUAGUUGUUCACUCCUGUUCACUACAGGAGUGCUGCCUAUGGAGCCCCAAAAUAAGUAGGGGAAACUCAAGCCACACAUCCUUGGGAGCUCAUUAGUCUGUGUUCUCUAGUAGGUAAGCAUUCCAGAUUCAAAGAAAAAUGAGCCACUCAAACAGGUUUCUCUAGCAAGGUGCUGGAGAGUGGCCACACAUGGUAGAUGCAAGAGAUGAUAGAAACCUUCAGGACUAUUGCUUGAGACAAUGUGAAUAGCUCUAGGUGCCAUUUCUUGAGCAUCUCUCAUGAGCCAGCCUUUUCCACUCAUUAUGUCUGAUCUCUACCACCAACCUUUGAGUAGGUAUUAUUCCCUUCUUUUGGGUAAGAAAACUGAGAAGCUAAUAACUUAAGUGACUUGUUCAAGGCCACAUCUCUAAAAAGAGAAUGAGCAGCUGGAAUUCAAAUCCAGAAUUGUCUGGAUCCAAAGCUUAUGUAUGUCUUUGACAUAUUACCCCAUAGUUAAAAUAGCUGAAGUUUCAAUGAAAUUUCCAGACAUGGAAAGAGGUAAAUCCAAGGUAGGGGAAUUUAAACCAGUGACUGAAGGCCAGUUGGGAUUCAUGAUCUGAAUGGACAAAGCGACCCUAUUUGCCAGUUUGCAAACUUAAUGUGUCCUGGGUCUUCCAGGGAGGCUGGCAUCUCAGAGCUGAUUGGAAUCCCACAAUCCAAAUGUCACUGGGGGCCAUUUCCACCCCCCAGAAACAUGGUAUUUGCCUUUAAAGAAACUAUAUGCAUAAAUGCCUUGUUAGGUUUGAUACACUGUGUCCUUAUAUUUCAGACAGUAGUAGCCCCAAAUUAUGCCUAUGCAUCAAAAGAUGAACCAAGCCAGAAACUAAGGGAGAAUUGCCUAGUUGUGCUCUGAUUAGAGGGUGUGAUGGUGAAAGGGCAUGUGUUUUGUGCCUCUUCAGUGUGCCUCCCACAAGGGGAGAAGGCAGAGUAUUCUCCUUGUUACCUCCCCACCCCCUAGGAUCUUUGCAUUUGCCACUGCAUAGAGGAUAGGAAAGAGCUUUUGCAAAAUAACAGCUUUUAAAUAAUCCUUUUCCAAAUCAUAUAAUUUUGGUAGUAUUUGGCCAACGAAAACUUUCAAACACACAACCUAGUGGUCCAGUCUCAGCAGACUGGUGGUCAGUUCCAAUAAGAGAUGUGGAAGUCACUGGCUCUGUCUCUUUUCACAGGGUCUGGGAUGCUGUCCCAUCAUAUCAUUUGCUUGUGAAUGUUCAGGUAGGAUGGAAGAUAGAGGAAUUCCAAAUAGACAGGGAGUAAAGGGGAGUUUGGGUUACAAGACAGAGGCCUGGGGAAGGGAAGGAGUUACUGAAUGCUCCUUAUUGGGCUUUUCCAAUUGAGCCAACCCCUGAAGUCUGGAUUUUGUAGGAGGAUGAGGUUUGACUCUAAUUCUUCAUUCAGCCUUGCUACUUCAAUUAGAGUGGAGUCCUAGCCAUCUUCUAUCUACUUUUUUUUCUUUAGACACCGGCAUUGUUAUUCACAACCCUUGCUAAUGAACUUGCCAUUUUUAAUACUGACUUUUUUGGGUUACAUAGAUUUUUGACAUUAUUCAUACUUUGGCAAAGCCUGGUAAACAUGGCUGACAUAGUUGGAAUUGGCUGAAAAUUUGUAUUUGUAUUUGACUAAAAAUCUUAGCAUAGUGCUUUGCAUACAGUAGGAACACAAUAAAUAUCGAUGUAGAUUGAAUAAUUUUCUUUCUAGACUGUUAAAUUCACAAGAGUAGGAACAUUCUGAUGUUCACCGCAGAGUCCCUGAUAUUUAGAAUAGUGCCUACUAUUCUAUAUAGUAUAAUAUGUGCACAUUAAACAUCAGUUGAAUGGAUGAGUGCUAACCUUCCCAAUAUUUAGUCUAACUCAUUACCUGUCAACAUGAAGGUAGCAUGCCAGCAUUAGAUCGGGAAUCAGAUGUGUGGUUUAGUUAUGUUACCAACCAGCUGUGUGAUCUUGAGUGAGUCAUUUGACAUUUGGAGUCAAUUUUCUUUUCUUUUGUAAAACAAAAGAAUUUGGUUAGAUGGAUGCUACAGUUUAAAAAGUCUGUGGUUUUAUUAUUGACUGGAUAAAUUACAUGUGAAUGAAGCAUUUCUGUUGACAAAGUGGUAGUGUACGUAUUAUCUCAUAUGAAUUUUAUAACUAUCCAUUAUCUCCAUUUUAUGGAUGUUAUUGUGUUACUGAGUAUUAUCUCAAUAUUGUAUUACUAGAUAUGGAAAAUGAGAUUCAAAGAGGUUAGCAAUUUGGGUAACCAAGCAAAUAAGUGGAUCAGAACCCAGGUCCUUUGACUCAAAAUCCAGAGCUCUUUCAUCUCUGGAGCACUGCCUCUUGGGACUGAAUGAUUAGGCUGCUUUUGGCUGCAAGUAAAAGAGUAGACAAGUUAAAGUGGCCUAAAUAAUAAGGACACUUAUUAUCUUAGCUGGCAAAAAGUCCAGAGAGAGGGCAACUUCAGGGCUGUUCCAAAGCUCUGCCUGGACUCAGUUGCUGCUUCCCAUCUUUUCACUCUGGCAUCUUCAGUGCAUUAACUAUGUCUCUAUAGUCUCCAUGAUUAUGAGGUGGCUGCAGUAAUUUUAGAUGUCAGUCAGUCACUACCACAUCCACUGUCCAAGAAGAGGUAUUUCCUCAUGCAUUGCCUUUUUAUCACAGAGGAACACUUUCCCAGAGUCCCCAUCAGUUUUCCCAUCAGAUUCCAUUGGCCUGGAUUGGAUCAUAUGCCCAUGCCCUAGCUGUAAAAGUGUCUAGGAAUAUAUGCAUCUGGCAUUUUUCCUCUCUAUAAUGGGAGGUGGCUUUGCCAUUAUGGAAGGAAUGGAAUUAUGUGUGUGUGUGUGUGUGCAUGCACAUGUGUGUGGUGGGGAGGAACAGCUGUCGGCUAAUCAUGCAGGAGCGUCUUUCAGAAUACGUCAAAUUAGGUUGCAAUUAUUGUUACAAUAAACCUUUCAUGAGAGUUUAGUAAGAUGUCAUCUCAGCCCUGGCUUUUUUUAGGCAAUCUUUGUAUGAUCAAAUUCUAGAACAAGGAAAAUUAUGAGAGAGUCCUUUGUAGUGUGUGUUGUUAAAUAUCAUUUCUGCCCUUAUGGAAUGGGUGGGUUCUGGGCAGCUAAAAGGCAUCUUGUUCAGAGCAGGCACAGCUCUCUAUAGCAGACAAACUUUAUGCUUGUUCAAGUGGCACAGUGGCAUGAAGUGGUUGAGAGCAUAUGUUCUGGAGCACUGCUUGCUUGGGUUUGAACCCUGGCUCUGCCAUUGACUAGCCAGGUGACUUUGGGGAAGUCACUUUUCCUCAUUGGGCCUCAGUUUCCUCAGCUAUAAAGUGGAAAUAAUAAUAACAUAGCCCUCAUGGACUUUUUGUAAGGAUUAAAUAAGGAUUAUAUGUCAAGUGCUUAGCUUAGUACCUGGCACAUAGUGAGAGCUGAAAAAAUAGUGACUGUUAUCUUAAUGUUUUGUGAAACUAUAUUAGAGGUAAUCCUAAAUAGUGGGAAGGCUUUGACUUAGAAUCAAAUGACUUUAAGCCUAAACUCCAUCACUUUCUGAUGGUGCAAGACCUUAAGCCAGUCACUGGGCCUCCUGUUCUUCAACUGAAAAAUGAGAGUAAUAAUUCCUCAACUGCCAGUCUCCACUGUGUUGUUGAGAUGGCUUAUGUAAAAGCAUGUUGUAAAUGUUCAAAUAUCACCCAAAUACAGAGUACUAUUCUAAUCAAUUUAGUUGAAGAAAAGGUUAGCUUCUUAUCUGUUGAAAUGGGAAUGAUAUUAUCAUGUGCAAACCUAUAUCUGUGCUAAAUAUCAGGCCCCAUGAUGAUCCUGCUGGUGAAAUCCAAGCUAGGUCCAGCUGGCAGCCACAGUUUUCUGCUAGUAAGGACAAUUCAACACUUUUCUCUACCAAGCUCUUCUGGAAUGCCAUUCAGAGUCUACUGAAAAUCAGACACAAAAGGAAUAGAGGAGAGAGGCAGUUUGUUAAAUACUGUGGCACAGCUCUGACGUUUUUAGACCUAUAUUAUAUGGGCCAGCUCUUUAUAUUAAGUAUAUCCUAAAAAAAUGUAAUGUUAUUCCAAUGGUCUGCUAAGAUCUUAUCUCUUGAUAUUUUCAAAGCAAAGGCAAAGUGUAUUGACUUCAGGGAGAAUACAAUAAUAUUAGCUGCACAUUGACGGUGUAUCAGCUAGAAUUCUUUUAACUACAUGCAACAAAUUCUAAUUCAAACUGGCUUUAACAUUAAGGACAUUUACUGACUCAUAUAUUCAGAAGUCUUGAAUUAUAUAUUUAAUUCAAGGACUGUGGCUCUGUUUCUCUGGGGUUCCUUUGCCUCUUCUUGCCAUUUGGGAUGGCUCUAUCCUCAGACUGGUAGUGAAAUAGUUAUAGUAGUGCCAGUUCUCACAUUUUCAUAGGAUACCCUCCAGAGGAAGAGAGAAGCCACUUCCAAUUCAGCAUCCCAAACAGAAGUGUGCAGUCAUUCUGAUGGGACCUCCCAGGUCACAUGCUUACCCCUGAAGCAGUGACCCUGACCAGGGGAAGAUAAUGUGCUGAUUAGCUUAAGGUGCAGAGCUUGACCCUGGGACUCAGGGUGGGAUCAACUUCCCCUGUGGUGAUGUUCUGCCUGGGGAAGAGCAAAUACCUAAAAUCAGAUAGGAGGAAGGGGGAAAUGGCUCCUAAAAAGAUAACCCACAAUACCUACUGUAGAUGCUUUGUCUAGGGUAGGUGGUUCUCAAAGUGUUGUCUGGGGAAUCCUGGAAGUCCCUGUGAUCAUUUCAUGGAGUCCAUGCUAUUAAAAAAAAACUAUUUUCAAAAUAAUACUAAGAUAUUGUUUGCCUUUUUGGAUAACAGUUUUAUUGAGAUGUAGUUCACAUUCCUUGUAGUACGCCCACUUAAGGUAUACAAUUUUUAAUAUAUUCAGAGAGUAGUGCAGUCAUCACCACAAUUAAUUUUAGAAUAUUUUCAUCAUCCCCAAAAUGAACCUUUGCCCUUUAGCAGUCAUACCUCCAUUUCCCUCCAGACCUCCCAGUCCUAGGCAACCACUAAUCUACUUCCUGUCUGUAUAGAUUUGUCUAUUCUGGACAUUUGAUAAAAAUGGAAUCAUAAAAUAUGUGAACUUUUGUGUCUGGCUUCUUUCACUUAGCACAAUGUUUUCAAGGUUUAUCCAUAUUGUAGCAUGGGUCAGUACCUCCUUCCUUUUUCUUGUUGAAUAGUAGUCCAGUCCAUUGCAUAGAUAUAUCACAUUUUGUUGAUCCAUUCAUUAGUUGAACAUUUGGGUUGAUGGACAUUUUGGCUAUUAUGAAUAAUGUUGCUAUGAACAUUCCUGAAAAAGUUGCUCUCUAGACAUGUUUCAUUUCUCUUGGGUGUAUACCUAGAAGUGAAAUUACUAGUCAUAUGGUAACUCUGUGUUUAAUCUUUUGAAUAACUGUCAAACAGUUUUUCAAAGUGGCUGCACCAUUUUACAUUCCCACCAGCAGUGUAGCAGGGUUUCAAUUUCUUCACAUCCUCUCCAAUACUUGUUAUUAUCUAUCUGUUUGAUUAUAACCAUCCUAAGUGGGUGUGGAGUGGGAUCUCAUUGUGGUUUUGAUUUGCAUUUCUCUGGUGGCUAAAGUUGAGCAUCUUUUCAUGUGUCUAUUAGCCAUUUGUAUAUCUUCUUCAGACAGCUGCCCAUUUAGAUCCUUUGCCCAUUUUAAAAUUGGGUUGUCUUUUAUUAUUAAGUUGUAAGAGUUCUUCAUAUAUUCUGGACACAAACCCUUUAUAUAAUAAGUGAUUUGCAAAUAUUUUUUCCCAUUCUGUGGGAUAUCUUUUACUUUCUUGAUGGGGU